rnacentral:snRNA from 1 species
AGAUAUGAGGUGGGUCUGGCUGGGUAAGCAGGAGCCACCUUCCUUCAUCACCAUCCCAUAUAUGCCCUUCCCAAAGCUGCAUCCUUGGGCCAAGACAACCUUCCCUGAGAGAGAAGGUCCGGUCUUCAUCAAGGAUACAGGGGUAACCAUUCUCCUACUAGAAACAAGCUUCUGUGACUGGUCGUGGUGGUGUAUGUCUUUAAUCCUAGUACUCACGUAGCAGAGGCAGGUAGAGCUGUAAGCCAGCCUGGUGU